GACGAACGCUGGCGGCGUGCUUAACACAUGCAAGUCGAGCGGAAAGGCCCUUCGGGGUACUCGAGCGGCGAACGGGUGAGUAACACGUGAGUAACCUGCCCCAGACUUUGGGAUAACCCUCGGAAACGGGGGCUAAUACCGGAUACGACACAGCUUCGCAUGGGGUCUGUGUGGAAAGUUUUUCGGUUUGGGAUGGGCUCGCGGCCUAUCAGCUUGUUGGUGGGGUGAUGGCCUACCAAGGCGACGACGGGUAGCCGGCCUGAGAGGGCGACCGGCCACACCGGGACUGAGGCACGGCCCAGACUCCCAAGGGAGGGCGGAGGGGGGAAUAAUGGCCAAUGGGCGGAAGCCUGAUGGAGGCACGGCGGGUGGGGGAAGACGGCCUUUGGGGUGGAAACCUCUUUCAGCAGGGACGAAGCGUAAGUGACGGUACCUGCAGAAGAAGCGCCGGCCAACUACGUG
rnacentral:rRNA from 1 species